CUCCACAGUGCUCUUACAGCCUACCAGGAACAACUCUCACAAAGAUCUGUGAAACGCAGUUUCUUCCCAGCCCUGAUCUCGCUGAAAUAGAACUUCUGCUCUGCCAUGUCCUACAUUGACCCAGAGUUGCAAGGCACAACGUCCUGCCCUGUUUCUUCAAGUGCAGACAGGCCACAAAGCGUCUUGAUUACAGCUCUUUCGCAAGGUGGGAAAGAUCUCGCUUUUCCCUGGGCUCUUCCAGCUUACCUGGAACCUCUAAUGCAAAGACCUGAAACAGAGUUUGUUUCCAGCCCUGAUGUCGCCGCCUUGGAACUUCUGCUCUAAUCCGUGUUCUACAUUGCUCUAGAGGUGGAAGUCACAAAGCGCUGAGUCAUUGCCUACAAAGGAGACAAGCCAAAAAUGGUCUUCCUUCCAGCUCUUUGGGAAGCGAAGAAACAACUCGUUCUCCACAGUGCUCUUACAACCUACUGGGAACAUCUCUUACAAAGGCCCGUGAAUCGCAGUUUUUUUCCAGCCCUGAACUCAUUGAAGUAGAACUUGUGCUCUGCCGUGUCCUACAUUGCCUAGAGUUGCAAGGCACAAAGUACUGCCUUGUUUCCUAAAGAGAAGACAGGCCACAAAGCGUGUUGUUUCCAGCUCUUUGGGAAUCUAAGAAACAACUCACUCUCCACAGUGCUCCUGCAGCCUACCAGGAAAAUCUCUUACAAAGGACAGGGAAACACAGUUGCUUUCCAUCCCUGAACUGGCUGAAGUAGAAAUUGUGCUCUGCCAUGUCCUACAUUGCUCUAGAGGUGGAAGUCACAGAGUGCUGAGUCAUUGCCUCCAAAGAAUACAAGCCACAAACGGUCUUGCUUCCAGCGCUAGGAAGCUAAGAAAUAACUGCCUCUCAAUAGUGCUCUUACAUCUACUGGGAACAUCUCUCACAAAGAUCGGUGAAACGCAGUUUCUUCCCAGCCUUGAUCUUGCUGAAGUAGAACUUCUGCUCUGCCAUGUCCUACGUUGCCCUAGAGUUGCAAGGCAAAAUGUCCUGCAUUGUUUCCUAAAGGCAGGCAAACCAGAAAGCAUCUUGCUUCCAGCUGGUUUGGAAGCUAAGAAGCAACUCACUCUCCACAGUGCUCUUAGAGCCUACCGUGAACAUCUCUUACAAAGGCCUGUGAAACUCACUUUCUUCCCAUCCCUGAUCUCGCUGAAGAAGACCUUCAGCUCUGCGGUGUAAUACAUUGCCCUAGAGGUGGAAGUCACAAAGCCCUGCCUGGCAAACUCAAGAGGAGACAGGCCACAGACUCUCUUGAUUCCAUCUCUUUUGCAAGUUGAGAAAGAUCUCACUUUUCCCUGGGCUGUUACAGCCUACCGGGAACCUCUAAUACAAAGACCUGAAACCCACUUUGUUUCCAGCCCUGAUCUCACCUCGUUGGAACAUCUGCUCUAAGCUGUGUUCCACAUUGCUCUAGAGGUGGAAGUCUCACAGCGCUGAUUCAUUGCCUCCAAAGUAGACAGGCCACAAACUGUCUUGCUUGCAGCUUUUUGGGAAGCUAAGAAACAACAGGCUCUCCACAGUGCUCUUACACCCAACCAAAAACAUCUCUCACAAAGGCCUGGGAAACGCAGUUUCUUCCCAGCCCU
rnacentral:lncRNA from 1 species